rnacentral:rRNA from 1 species
AGUUUGAUCCUGGCUCAGGACGAACGCUGGCGGCAUGCCUAACACAUGCAAGUCGAACGAGAAAGUUCCUUCGGGAGCAAUUAAAGUGGCGCACGGGUGAGUAACGCGUAGACAAUCUGCCCUUCAGUCUGGGACAACUUUUCGAAAGGAGAGCUAAUACCGGAUAACAAUGCAUGACACAAGUUGUAUAUUUGAAAGCUUUAUGUGCUGAAGGAGGGGUCUGCGUCCCAUUAGCUAGUUGGUAAGGUAAAGGCUUACCAAGGCAACGAUGGGUAGCGGGUUUGAGAGGACGAUCCGCCACACUGGAACUGAGACACGGUCCAGACUCCUACGGGAGGCAGCAGUGGGGAAUAUUGCACAAUGGAGGAAACUCUGAUGCAGCAAUGUCGCGUGAGUGAAGAAGGCCCUUGGGUCGUAAAGCUCUUUUAUGGGGGAAGAUGAUGACGGUACCCCAAGAAUAAGCACCGGCUAACUAUGUGCCAGCAGCCGCGGUAAUACAUAGGGUGCGAGCGUUGUUCGGAAUUACUGGGCGUAAAGGGCGCGCAGGCGGAAUAGUAAGUCGGAGGUGAAAGCCCGGGGCUCAACCCCGGAGGGUCUUUCGAAACUACUAAUCUAGAGAGGGUCAGGGGCCGGCAGAAUUCCUGGUGUAGAGGUGAAAUUCGUAGAUAUCAGGAGGAAUACCGGUGGCGAAGGCGGCCGGCUGGGGCCACUCUGACGCUGAGGCGCGAAAGCGUGGGGAGCAAACAGGAUUAGAUACCCUGGUAGUCCACGCCGUAAACGAUGAGCACUGGACGUCCGGAGGGUUCGACCCUUCUGGGUGUCUCAGCUAACGCAUUAAGUGCUCCGCCUGGGGAGUACGGUCGCAAGACUAAAACUCAAAGGAAUUGACGGGGACCCGCACAAGCGGUGGAUUAUGUGGUUUAAUUCGAUGCAACGCGAAGAACCUUACCUGGACUUGACAUGUUAGUGAAACUCUGGUGAAAGCCAGAGCGUCUGCGAGCUUGCUCAAGGACACUAUCACAGGUGAUGCAUGGCUGUCGUCAGCUCGUGUCGUGAGAUGUUCGGUUAAGUCCGAUAACGAGCGCAACCCCUAUCCUUAGUUGCCAGCACGUAAUGGUGGGGACUCUAGGGAAACUGCCCGGGAUAACCGGAAGGAAGGUGGGGCCGACGUCAAGUCAGUAUGUCCCUUACGUUCAGGGCUACACACGUAAUACAAUGGGAAGUACAGAGGGUAGCAAAACUGCGAAGUUGAGCCAAUCCCAAAAAACUUCCCCAAGUUCGGAUUGCAGUCUGCAACUCGACUGCAUGAAGCAGGAAUCGCUAGUAAUCGCGCAUCAGCAUGGCGCGGUGAAUACGUUCCCGGGUCUUGUACACACCGCCCGUCACGCCAUGGAAGCCGGUAGCACCCAAUGUCAGUGUCCUAACCUUCGGGAAGGAGCUGCUUAAGGUGAGAUUGGUAACUGGGGCGAAGUCGUAACAAGGUAACC